GUCUAUGCCUAUACCACUGUGAACACACUGGAUCAUGUCUGAUCUUGGAAGCUAUGCAGGAUUGGGCCUGGUUAGUACUUGGAUGGGAGACCACCUGAAAAUGUCAGGUGCUGUAGGCU
rnacentral:rRNA from 1 species